AGUGAACGCUGGCGGUAGGCCUAACACAUGCAAGUCGAACGGCAGCACAGUAAGAGCUUGCUCUUACGGGUGGCGGGUGGCGGACGGGUGAGGAAUACAUCGGAAUCUACUUUUUCGUGGGGGAUAACGUAGGGAAACUUACGCUAAUACCGCAUACGACCUACGGGUGAAAGCAGGGGAUCUUCGGACCUUGCGCGAUUGAAUGAGCCGAUGUCGGAUUAGCUAGUUGGCGGGGUAAAGGCCCACCAAGGCGACGAUCCGUAGCUGGUCUGAGAGGAUGAUCAGCCACACUGGAACUGAGACACGGUCCAGACUCCUACGGGAGGCAGCAGUGGGGAAUAUUGGACAAUGGGCGCAAGCCUGAUCCAGCCAUACCGCGUGGGUGAAGAAGGCCUCCGGGUUGUAAAGCCCUUUUGUUGGGAAAGAAAAGCAGCAGGUUAAUACCCCGCUGUUCUGACGGUACCCAAAGAAUAAGCACCGGCUAACUUCG
rnacentral:rRNA from 1 species